ensembl:piRNA 21ur-8899 ncRNA
UCAAUCUUUUUUUCGCAUUCC